rnacentral:rRNA from 1 species
AGUGAACGCUGGCGGUAGGCCUAACACAUGCAAGUCGAACGGCAGCACAGUAGGAGCUUGCUCUUACGGGUGGCGAGUGGCGGACGGGUGAGGAAUACAUCGGAAUCUACUUUUUCGUGGGGGAUAACGUAGGGAAACUUACGCUAAUACCGCAUACGACCUACGGGUGAAAGCAGGGGAUCUUCGGACCUUGCGCGAUUGAAUGAGCCGAUGUCGGAUUAGCUAGUUGGCGGGGUAAAGGCCCACCAAGGCGACGAUCCGUAGCUGGUCUGAGAGGAUGAUCAGCCACACUGGAACUGAGACACGGUCCAGACUCCUACGGGAGGCAGCAGUGGGGAAUAUUGGACAAUGGGCGCAAGCCUGAUCCAGCCAUACCGCGUGGGUGAAGAAGGCCUUCGGGUUGUAAAGCCCUUUUGUUGGGAAAGAAAAGCAGCAGGUUAAUACCCAGCUGUUCUGACGGUACCCAAAGAAUAAGCACCGGCUAACUUCGUG